GACGAACGCUGGCGGCGUGCCUAAUACAUGCAAGUCGAACGCAUUUUCUUUCACCGUAGCUUGCUACACCGAAAGAAAAUGAGUGGCGAACGGGUGAGUAACACGUGGGUAACCUGCCCAUCAGCGGGGGAUAACACUUGGAAACAGGUGCUAAUACCGCAUAAUUCCAUUUACCGCAUGGUAGAUGGAUGAAAGGCGCUUUUGCGUCACUGAUGGAUGGACCCGCGGUGCAUUAGCUAGUUGGUGGGGUAACGGCCUACCAAGGCUGCGAUGCAUAGCCGACCUGAGAGGGGGAAGGGCCACACUGGAGAUGGAACACGGCCCAGACCCCUAGGGGAGGGAGCAGUGGGGAAUUUUCGGCAAUGGAGGCAAAUCUGACCGGGCAACCCCGCGGGGGGGAAAAAGGUUUUCGGAUCGUAAAACUCUUUUGUUAGAGAAAAACAAGGAUGAGGGGGGAAAGUUCAUCCCUUGAGGGUAUCAAACCAAAAAGCCACGGCAAACUACGG
rnacentral:rRNA from 1 species